rnacentral:rRNA from 1 species
GAUGAACGCUGGCGGCGUGCCUAAUACAUGCAAGUCGAGCGAACGGACGAGAAGCUUGCUUCUCUGAUGUUAGCGGCGGACGGGUGAGUAACACGUGGAUAACCUACCUAUAAGACUGGGAUAACUUCGGGAAACCGGAGCUAAUACCGGAUAAUAUUUUGAACCGCAUGGUUCAAAAGUGAAAGACGGUCUUGCUGUCACUUAUAGAUGGAUCCGCGCUGCAUUAGCUAGUUGGUAAGGUAACGGCUUACCAAGGCAACGAUGCAUAGCCGACCUGAGAGGGUGAUCGGCCACACUGGAACUGAGACACGGUCCAGACUCCUACGGGAGGCAGCAGUAGGGAAUCUUCCGCAAUGGGCGAAAGCCUGACGGAGCAACGCCGCGUGAGUGAUGAAGGUCUUCGGAUCGUAAAACUCUGUUAUUAGGGAAGAACAUAUGUGUAAGUAACUGUGCACAUCUUGACGGUACCUAAUCAGAAAGCCACGGCUAACUACGUGCCAGCAGCCGCGGUAAUACGUAGGUGGCAAGCGUUAUCCGGAAUUAUUGGGUGUAAAGCGCGCGUAGGCGGUUUUUUAAGUCUGAUGUGAAAGCCCACGGCCCAACCGUGGAGGGUCAUUGGAAACUGGAAAACUUGAGUGCAGAAGAGGAAAGUGGAAUUCCAUGUGUAGCGGUGAAAUGCGCAGAGAUAUGGAGGAACACCAGUGGCGAAGGCGACUUUCUGGUCUGUAACUGACGCUGAUGUGCGAAAGCGUGGGGAUCAAACAGGAUUAGAUACCCUGGUAGUCCACGCCGUAAACGAUGAGUGCUAAGUGUUAGGGGGUUUCCGCCCCUUAGUGCUGCAGCUAACGCAUUAAGCACUCCGCCUGGGGAGUACGACCGCAAGGUUGAAACUCAAAGGAAUUGACGGGGACCCGCACAAGCGGUGGAGCAUGUGGUUUAAUUCGAAGCAACGCGAAGAACCUUACCAAAUCUUGACAUCCUUUGACAACUCUAGAGAUAGAGCUUUCCCCUUCGGGGGACAAAGUGACAGGUGGUGCAUGGUUGUCGUCAGCUCGUGUCGUGAGAUGUUGGGUUAAGUCCCGCAACGAGCGCAACCCUUAAGCUUAGUUGCCAUCAUUAAGUUGGGCACUCUAAGUUGACUGCCGGUGACAAACCGGAGGAAGGUGGGGAUGACGUCAAAUCAUCAUGCCCCUUAUGAUUUGGGCUACACACGUGCUACAAUGGACAAUACAAAGGGCAGCGAAACCGUGAGGUCAAGCAAAUCCCAUAAAGUUGUUCUCAGUUCGGAUUGUAGUCUGCAACUCGACUACAUGAAGCUGGAAUCGCUAGUAAUCGUAGAUCAGCAUGCUACGGUGAAUACGUUCCCGGGUCU